GCACACGGCCCGCCCAGCUGAGGUGCCGGAGCAGCCGUUUUUGCACCGGCAACUCUGGCUUGAAGGACCCGGUUCGAGGCCUCAGCGCGCAGUCCCCUGUGAGCAACGAAAUUAAACACGAAGGAAAAGAAAAAGAUGCUGUUGGUAUCUUUGAGGGAAUCUAUUAUACAACCCCAUCUUCAUCUAAGUUUUGGAUUCGCUGGAAAAUAAGAUACAAAGCAUUAUGAAGGGAGAACUGAAGUAUCACCAUUGUCACCAACGGAGGCUGGGAUGUAGGACUGGAAGGUGUGGGUUAAUGUCUGUGCCCAGAUGGGUGUGCACCUUCCUUUCCCUCAGUUGAGCCCUUGGGCAGCCCUCUUGGGAGAAAGAGUCUUUAGAGCGUCUACACUAAACUAGAGGGCUGUUUCUGCUGAUCCAGGUGGAGAAGGAAGACGGCAGAUCCCACUGUCCUCCGCCUGCAUGGAAUCUUUGAAUUAGCUCCACACAAUGGAGGCUUGAGCCAAACCCACUGGUACGCGGGCCUCUCACUGUUGUGGCCUCUCCCGUUGUGGACCACAGGCUCCGGAUGCGCAGGCUCAGCGGCC